UACGUAGGGGGCAAGCGUUGUUCGGAAUUACUGGGCGUAAAGGGCGCGUAGGCGGCAUGGCAAGUCGGGAGUGAAAGCCCGGGGCUCAACCCCGGAACGGCUUUCGAAACUGCCAAGCUAGGGUACGGAAGGGGCAACUGGAAUUCCCAGUGUAGCGGUGAAAUGCGUAGAUAUUGGGAAGAACACCGGAGGCGAAGGCGGGUUGCUGGGCCGAUACUGACGCUGAGGCGCGAAAGCGUGGGGAGCAAACAGG
rnacentral:rRNA from 1 species